AUGAACUCUAGACAGAAAAAAAGUGAGGCUAACAGAGAGGUAUUUGGGGAGUUUUAAUGGUGGUUGCCCUCUCUCUGUUUGCCGGUGAUUUUUCCAUUUUCGCGAAGCAAACUUCAAACAAACCAUCAUUUAUGUUUAAGGGUCCUUUGGUUUUGCUGCUGUAUUGAAACUUCCGAUGAAAAAUCGCAAGUUUUUGCAGUGUGUAUGUGUACACACAUGUACAUCUAUGUAUCUAUAUAUAUAUAUAUAUUCUCAUACUUGAAGGAAGGUUUAGGGUUUAAGAUUUGACCCUUUUACCGUUUCUUCUUCUUCUUCUUUUUCCUCAUCAUCAUCAUCAUCAUCUGUGAAUCCUUGAAAAGGGUUUUCGCGAUGGUUGAAGUUGUUGUUGUUAUUAUUAUUAUUAUUAUUAUUUUUGUUGUUGUAAUGGAAGGGAAGAUAGGCUAUGAUGAUUAAGGUGUCUAGAGUUCAUAGGGUCAAAGGAGCAGGGUCCGUAUCUUGGCGGGGCAACCCGGUAGACAUUUUGGCAGUGAAACCGAGGUCUGCAGCCAUGGCGGAUGCAUUGUCUCCUUUGCUCUGAUUAUACAGAUCUGAGCCUUAAACUCGGAAGUUUCUGCAGUAUGUGUAUAUACACACAUUAAUUGUUCAUCUCUCUCUCUCUCUAUAUAUAUACAAUAUACAGGAAGAAGGGUUCAGGUUUAAGAUCUGACUCUUUUGGUUCUUCGUUUUACUCAUCGUCAUUCAUCGUCGUCGUCAUUUUCACCUUCUCCAACCCUACCACUUUGUUACGGAUGAGAGGCUGUGAUGAUUAAGAUUAAGGUGUUUGGAGUUAAUGGGGCAAGGGAGCUGGACCUGUAUCUUGGCCUGGCAACCCGGUAGGCCUAUGUGUAGUGCAACUGAGGUCUGCAGCCAUGGGGGGUGCAUUGUCUCCUUCGCCUCGAUUAUACUUAUCUGAGCCUUAAUGAAGUCCAAUUUGCUUUGCAGUACCUUUUUCCUCAGUCAAUACUAGCUCUGUUUGCAGCAAGUAAGCAUCAUUACUUAUGUUUCUGCUUAUCUGUAGGCUGUGAUGAUAUAGAGCUUAUUGAGUUAAUCGGGUUUUGCUCAGCUCAAACCCAAAUCUUGGUAAGGAUAACUAAACUGUGUUUUAAAUGGUGCAACGACUAUUGGGACGUGAUUGAGUGGAAGAGAUAUUAGGAAUUCAUUUAGCUUAUCCAACUAGAUUGUUGUUGUAUGCUAUUCUGGUUUGCAGCUAUGGCGGUAUCCCUUUCAUUUUCCCGAUUUCGUGACAUAUCUGAGCCUAGUUGAUUACUCAACUGAGAAUAAUUCGUCGAGAGUAGAACACUGGAGAAUAUGAAUUAGGCAGCAUUGUGAUGGGCAGUUUUUAGCAAUAUAUGAAUGUUAAUAGUUUUAUGUUAUCAUGGAAAUGGUGGCAUUCGUUCCUUGCUCACCGGUAAAUAGUCGUGUCUAGGCUGUCAUGCUAAGUUAUUUAACCGAUGAAUAGAACCAAGCUGUUCUUAGUGUAGUAAUCUUCAAGUUGUUACUCUCUAGCUUACUGAUUCAGGUGUUCUUCAUCCGUAAAAACCUCAGCUCAACUCGCUCUCUUAUCAAAGAACACAGAUAGCUUGUAGGUAGUGACCAAGGCUAAUUUUAUCAAAGAAAAUGGAAGCAAGUCAAUUCUCUAACGGAAGUAGGGAAAACAAGUUUUAUAAAAAAUAUUUCAAGUUGAUCGUCUCCUUCCAAUAUUUCCGCCACUUGACCAUACUACACUCCACCCCUUCUUCCUACCUCAUUAUAAAAGAUAUCUGUUUACUGUUCAGAAUAUCAAACUAUGAACAAAAGAAAGACAAACACGCUCUCAGUUACAACACCUGAUGAUUAUUAAUGAGCUCCGAACAAUUGCUAUAUCUAUUUGCUAACUAUGAAUUCUAAGAGUGAAAAUAUGCAUUAUCAAACUUAUUAGGUAUACUUUUAAAAUAGAAAUGUGACUAAGUAGAAAUGUAACAGGAAGAUACUACAUGUACUAAAUCAAAGUUUGUGUUAAUGAAACUCUGGACGACGAGAGAGGCAUUGGGGAGUUAUUAAUGGUGGUUGCCCUCUCGCUGUUCUUCAGCUGAUGGUUUGUUUGGAUUGGCUUAAAUUGUGUGGUGUUUAGCUAAAAUUAUACUCCAUAUUAACUGAAUUUAGGCGCACUAUACUACUACUCCUUGUUCAGGCUGUAAUGAUGACAAAUGAAGUUUUCUAGAGUUGGGUCAGGCAUAUUGGAGCCAUUGUUUUGCUAACUGAGGUCUGCAGCCAUGGUGGUUGCUUUGUCUCCUUUUUCCCUCGAUCUUGUGUUGCAGAUCCGAACCUAUAGAAAAAGACCCUUUUGGAAACUGCUUCUGCUUCUUCACUUGUUGAUGCUGUAAUGAUGACAAAUGGAUUUUGGUCAGGUAUUGCAGCUGCACGUAUCUUGGCGGGGCGACCCGGUAAGGCAUUUUCAUUGUUUUGCAAACUGAGGUCUGCAGCCAUGGCGAUUGCUUUGUCUCUUUGUGCUUGAUUUUAUCUUAUAGAUCUGAGUCUCAAAAGAAAAAAUCAUUUCAGUAAUUAUUUGUGAACCCUUUUUUGUUAGAUUAGCUCAGAAUGAGGCAGCAGAGAGAGUUACGGGAUUUCUAAUCAAGGGUGUUGCCCUUCUCUCUGUUUUGCUUAUGAUUCUUCCAUUUUCUAAACAAACCAACAGCCCUUAAAAUAGAAAAAGAGAAAAAGAUGGAUCACACUAGUUUCUGUUGUUUUUUAUUCCAGUCAUUUAGGUUCUGCGUGGUGAUUUUAUUGAGCUGAGUCUAUUGGAAACUUCUCUAGUCCCCAAAAAGGACCAGGGUACCAUUGCUAGCUUUUAAUUAUAGGAUGAGGCUGUGAUGAUAACAAAUGAAGUUGUACAGAGUUGGGUUGAGCAUUGGAGCUGCACGUAUCUUGGUGUGGUAGCCAGAAAGGCAUUCUGUUUUGCAGCCAUGGCGGUUGGUUUGUCUCCUUUUGCCUAGUUUUAUAAUGAAUCUGAGCCUCAGGAGAAAGGCUGAAAGACCUUGAAGUCUUGUGAAUUACCUUUUGUUAGGUUAGCCUAAAAAAGGCAAGAUCAAGAAUGAGGCAAUAGAGAGUAUGGGAUUUUUAUCAAGGGUGGUUGCCCUUCUCUCUAUGCUUUGCCUAUGAUUCUCCAUUUCUCAAAACAAACCAACUUCCCUUAAAAAAAGAAAGAGACAGUGAUACACUUGAGUUUCAUGGUUUCUUUCACAAGGCAAUGCCACAACUAUACUAAAAGAACCGCAUGACUAUGAAAACUAUUAGAGAGACAGUGAUGAUUUCUGGGCUAUCUAAAUUUCGGGCAUGGAAAUUACCCACCGCGUAUCUUGGUGUGGCAACCCGAUAUGGCCUGUAAUUGAGACCCAUAACUCGCUCAUGCAAUCGUGUGUUGCAGCCAUGGCGUGGUUGACUUCUCUUCUGCCUUAUCAGAACACAAAUCUGAGUCUCAAUUUGCUUGAGAAAAUAGGGAAAAGGGUCAAAUUUACCACUUCACCAUGCAUAAGGGGCAAUAUAUAUUCCAUGAUAAAUGUGGGAGAUUGAAUUCAUACCCUUUUCAGGAGAAGUUAAAAUACUUACUACUAAGAUGCUCUCUAUUUGGAAGACUCCGAGAAUAUAAACUACAGUAAAAACCUCUCUAAAUUGGUACUCUAUAAAUUAAUAUGCUUUCUCAAAUAAUAUUUUCUGCUGCCCAGUGGAAAAAAUGACUGAUAUCGAUAUAAUUUAUUUUUGGAAGACCUAUAAUAUGUGGUCCCGUUAUCUAAAGUAACAAUAGGGAAAUAACCAUCCAAGCUAGUUGUUAUUGAUUCGUUCGGUUUAAAUACAAGUUAUGCUAGUAUAAUUGAUGGAUUUACACAGGCAAUGAUGAUUUUAGCAACCUUUCAUUUCCUUAUGAGCUUAUUAAUCGAACAUUUGAGAUUAUCCGGCUCAUAUCUUGGCUGGGCAUAACCCCAGAUUUUGUGGUGAUUUUUGCAGCCAUGGCAUCGUUGGAUCUCUUUUUGCCCUGAAUGUAACAGACCUGAGCCUCAUUUUUGGGGAACUCAUCUUUGUAUAAAUCUGAGGUUGCGGUUAAAACAGAGCUGUCGGGAGUUUCCAUGGGUGGUUUUGCCCCUCUCUGUCAUUCUCUGCUGCCAAUGAUCUUUCAAAUAGAAGUGUUUCCAAUUGCAAAACCACCCUUAAUUGAUUGAUUUAUUACUCCCUCUGUUCCACUUUUUAGAGUCAAUGAAGAUUGUUGUUUGUGCAAGAAGAAUCAAACAUUUUUUUCCUCUUAAGCUAAAAGACUGUUUAGGCAGUUGGGCAAAAAAUGACCUAAUGUAAGUGUGUUCUGCAACUCUAGACGAACAAACGAGGCAACGGAGAGGCAUUGGGGAGUCUUUAAUGGUGGUUGUCCUCUCUCUGUUCUUCCGCUGAUGAUUUCCUUUUCAAAAUUUCACCAAAACCACCAUAGUUGAAAAAGGUCUAAUCACAUGUAUUUCGAGCGUUUUUGGGUUUCUGGCUUAUAUUAUGUGCUGUUGGGCUAUAAAGUAUACUGUCUCCUCCUUCCUAUGAGGCUGUGAUGAUGACAAAUGAAGUUGUCUAGUGUUGGGUCGGGCCUGUUGGAGCUUGCACAUAUCUUGGCUGGGCGAUCCGGUAAGGCAUUUCCAUUGUUUUGCAAAGUGAGAUCUGCAGCCAUGGUGGUUGCUUUUGUCUCCUUUUUGCUUGAUUUUAUCUCACAGAUCUGAGCCUCAAGGAAAAGACCUGUUUCGUUUUUGCAAGUAAUUACUUGUGAGCCCCUUUUUGAUUGGUUAGCCCCUAAUGAGGCAGCAGAGACAGUAAUGGGAUUUCUAUUAGAGGGUGGUUGCCCUUCUCUCUGCUUUGCCUAUGAUUCUUACAUUUUUGAACAAACCAACAGCCCUUAAAAUAGAGAAAGAGAGAGAUGAAUUACACACUAGUUUCUGUUGUUUUCUUUCUUCCAUCAUUUAGGUUCUGGACUGUAAUUUUCUUGAGCUGAGCUCUGUUGGAAACAACUUCUCUAGUCCCCCACAAAGGAUCGGGGUAUGGUCUAUGUACCCUUGCUAGCUUUUAAUUAUAGGAUGAGGCUGUGAUAAUAACAAAUGAAGUUGUAUAGAGUUGGGUUGGGCAUUGGAGCUGCACGUAUCUUGGCGGGGCUACCCAGUAAAGGUAUUCCACUUAACAACUGAGGUCUCCAGCCAUGGCGAUUGCUUUGUCUCCUUUUCUCUGGUUUUAUAACAAAUCUGAGCCUCAGGAGAAAGAAUUAGCCGAAAGAUGCUUGAAGUCUUGUGAAUUCCCUUUUGUUAGGUCAGCCUAUAAAAGGCAAGAAUGAGGCAGCAGAGAGUAUGGGAUUUCUAUCAAGGGUGGUUGGCCUUCUCUCUAUGCUUUGCUUAUGAUUCUCCAUUUCUCAAAACAAACCAACAGCCCUUCAAAAGAAAGAGACAGAGAGAGUACAAUUGAGUUUCUGGGUUUAUUUGCAGUUUGCACCACCCUUAAGACAUAUGUAUACACAACUAUACUACAACUAUAAAAUGACUAUGAAAACUAUUAAAGAGGCAGUGAUGAUUUCUGGGCUAGCAAGAUUUCGGGCAUGGAGAGUACCCAACCCGUACCUUGGCAUGACAACACGGUAUGGCCUGUAAUUGAGACGCAUAACUCACACAUGCAAUCGUGCGUUGCAGCCAUGGCAUGGCUGGCUUCUCUUUUUCCUCGUCAUUACACAAAUCUGAGCCUCAAUUUGCUAAAGAAAAAAAGGGAAAAUGAUCAAAUUUGCCCCUUUACUAUGCAUAAGGGGCAAUAUCUUUUCCAUGAUCAAAGUGGGAGAUAUUGAGGUCUUCUCGUUUUAAGCUCUCAUACAAGCAAAUUCCAUCUAUUAGGUUUGCCCAGAAAUAGAGAGAAUGAGGCUGCAGAGAGAGUAUGGGAUUUCUUUCAAGGGUGGUUGCCCCUGUCUGCUUUGCCUAUGAUUCUCCCCUUCUCAACAAACCAACAGCCUUUAAGAGAAAAAAAGAGCAACAUAGUACUUCAGUCUCUGGUUUUCUGGAUGAAAUUUCCCCAAUUUUCAAGUUUACCACAACAAUUAGGCCGCCUUCAGAUCUUCAGUCUCUCUUCUCUUAGCUCUUUGCAUAUUUCUUCCCGUUUUCUCUUAUUGUUAGUGUAAAACUGGAAAGUGUUCCAUUACGAUGCAUUCUGCUACAGAAAGGGGCUAAUGAUGAUGCUUAUGUAUCUUCUAGUUCUGGGCUGAUCAUGGAACAUUGAGAUGAACCGACCCGUAUCUUGGCGUGGCAACCCGGUUUGGCCUGUUGAGAACUUCUCUCUUUCUCUCAUGCAGUCGGUGUUUUGCAGCCAUGGCGAGACUGGCUUCUCUUUUGCCAUAUCAUUACAUACAUCUGAGCCACAAUUUGUUGAAGAACAUAAGUAGGCAUUUGGACAUUAUUGCAGUUAAAUUCUCUUAAAUGCAGACUUGUGACGUCUCGUCAGUUAGAAGCUCUAAUCUAAACGAACUUCCUUCUUUUAGCAGGAAUGACGAGUAUGAGGCAGCAGAGAGUAUGGGAUUUCUUUCAAGGGUGGUUGCCCCUCUCUACUUUGCCUAUGAUUCUACCCUUCUCAACAAACCAACAGCCCUUAAGAAAAGAAAAAAGAGAAAAUAUAUUCCACUUCAGUUUCUUGGUUUCUUUGGGUCCUGUUGUUGUGAUAUACAUACUCAAAAACCAAACACAAAACUAUACUACUUCAGUUUCCUUGUUUCUUCAGUCUGUGUCCUUUAUGGCUUUGGAAACUCAUAAAAAGGCAGUGAUGAUAACUUUUUUUAACUCUGGUCUAUCCAGUUGGGCAUGGAGACGAUCCAAUCCGUAUCUUGGCGUGGCAAUCCAGUAUGGGUGUGAUCGCUAAAAGUGUCUACCUGGCAUUAUGCUACCUGUGAUAAGAGUUUUCUUCUCACACACGCAACCAAUGUUUUGCAGCCAUGGCGUGGUUGACUUCUCUUUUGCCUUAUCAUACAUGUAUCUGAGCCUCCUUUUGCUAAAGAAAGUAUAUUUUUUUUUUGCUUGUAUAUGGAACCUUUUUGCAUACAAGUUAUAUUGCUGUUCCCUCGUAAUGUGUUGCCAAUCUUUUAUCCGUAAUAGCUCAAGAAUGAGGCAUUUGAGUGAAAUGUGGGAUUUUUGUGAUGGUGGUUGCCUUCCUCAUCCAUUGCAGUACUUAGCUUGAAGUUGGAAGAAUCAUGGCUGAAUGAUCGUCCCUUGGAAGCAGUUGUACAAGAUGUAGACACUGGAGUCCAGGUGAAGGAUUCAAUGAAAUCAACACGAGAGCAUUCGGACCCGUAUCUUGGCGGGGCAACCCGGAUAGAAGGUGACCUAGAAACCGGUGGUUGCAGCCAUGGCGGUGAUUUGAGGCUCUCUUUGCUGUAUUGUGAGUAAUACAGAUCUGAGCUUUAUUGGUUUUUCUUUAAAAUGCAGCUGUGAAAUUUCCCAUAAAAGGAAAUAAAGCUUAGUCCAGAAAAGUUAAAGGUCAUAGACGGAAAUGAGGGUUGCGGAGAGUAGAGGGAAAGUUCAAAGGGCUGUUGCUCCUCUCUGCAAUACCUGUGAUUUCAUUUUUGUUGUGAAAAAAAGAAUCUUUAAUAGCCCUUCUGCAGUUAAACAGCAAUAUGCUUGUUCUCUCCAAUUUCUCAACUUUAAAGGGAUAAUCAGUAGUAGUAGUAAUGGUUGUUGCGAAAAUUAUGAGGCUAUGAUGAUGAUUUUAUUCUUUCUCUGAGCAAAUCAAUAGUACAGGAAAGAAAUGGACCCAUAUCUUGGCGGGCUACCUGGAUGGCAGGUUACCUUGCAACCGGUGCUUGCAGCCCUGGCGGUGAUUCCAGUCUCUCUUGCCAUGUUCUGUGAAAUUCGCAGGUCGAAAAACACAUGAGAAUUUCUCUUUUAAAGGAAAAAAAGCUUAGCUCAGAGACGAAUAAUGAGGGUUGGAGAGAGUAGAGGGGAACCCUUCAAAGGGCUGUCGCUCCUCUCUGCAAUAACUGUGAUUUUGAUUUCAGUGUUGCUGUGAAAAAAGAAAAACUCAACAGCUCUUGUUGCAGUUAAACAGAGACCAAAUGACGCUUAAGUCUUUGCUUGUUCUCUCCAAAUUCUCACACCCAGUUAUAAUAAUAAUUGUUUAAAAAAUUCUGAAGCCGUGAUGAAGAUUGUCUUCUUCCUUUGAGCAAAUCAAUAGUGCGGUAGAGCAAUUGGAUCCGUAUCUAAGCGGGGGCAACCCGGAGAUCUUUAUCUUAAGAUAUGUAGAAUGUUCCUAGAUGCCUUUUAAUAUUGUGGGUUUAAAGGCGUCACGUGGAAAGUUAGAAGUCAAAUGUUGCCAAAAAAGGAAAGAGACAUUCUAAAGGGAAGACAAAGAUUUGAGCCUCACUUUCUCCAUCGGUUUAGUUAAAUGAACAAAGCAAAAGCUUCGAAGGGAAAGAAUGAGGCUACAGAGAGUUUUGGGAUUUUUCAUUGAAAGGGUGGUUGCCUCUCUCUGCAUCAGGCAAUGAUUUCUCCAUUACUGCAUUGAGGCAUCCCGCCCGUAUCUUGGCUUGGCAAACACCGGAAUGGUCUGUGAUUGGAGGUUUCUCUUUCACAUGCAAUUGAUUCGAUUGCAGCCAUGGCUUGGUCGUCUUCUCUUUGCCUCGUCAGAAACUGAGAUCUGAGCCUCAUUUUCUAAAUUUCCUUUUGAUGACCCGCUGACCUGGAGAUAACAACAUCAUUUUAGUGCAACCAUCGAUUGGGUCUUCAAUUGAAGGUCGUUCUCUGGAUUUGGGGUUCUUCAGUUUUAUGUGUUAGACUGACGUGAUAACCAACUACAACUUUAUUUCUGCUCAAUGAAUGAGGCUUUAGGGGAUCAGAUGAUUCUCAGAGUGGAUAAGCAUCUUCGACAUGCAGGCAUGGCAGGUUUCCAGGAAUUCCAGUGCUCCAGAUACAAGUCUGAGCCUCCAGCUGAGAGCAAAGCAUUAACAUAGUAAUAGUAGUACUUGGGCCCUCUGUCUGAUUUAUGAGCUUAAUUCAAAUUAUCCUAAUAUCUUGAAAAUUGUGCAACCAUUUUCUCGGAGCGGCAGUGAUAAUAUUUGCUUAUCUGAGCUUUGGGAAUAAAGACAAUCAGACCCGUAUCUUGCCUUGGCAAACCCCAGUUGCUAUGUGAUUUAAGGCCUCUCUUUCACAUGCAACCGGUACUUUUGCAGCUGCGGCGUGCUCUCUUUCUCUGCUCCCUUUAAUAGGUCAGAUCUGAGCCACAAAUUUGCAAGUAGUUCUAGACAUUUGUUUGGUGGAAACCAAAUCCAUUUCACUUAUUUAAAAGCCAGCUCAAUGAGGCAUCAUGAGAAACACAAACUUUUUAUUUAUUAUUCAUUCAUUCAGUGUUGGUAGUAAGCCCACGUUUUUUUGCUUCUGCAUGGCUGCAUGAACACCUAAACAGCAAGAAUCAUACUAGAAAAAUGUGAAAUUGAGGCAGUGAUGAUAUUGUUCUUGGCAAACAAAAGCUAAGUUGAGCAUAGCCUAGAAAGGAAGAAGAAUGAGGCAUCUGAGAAAUUGGGACUUUCUGAAAGGGUGGUUGCCCCUCUCUGCUAUGCCAGUGAAUUCUCCGUUAAUGGACCAUAAAAACCAACAGCCCUUCGAAAUAAACAAGAAAAAACAAAAAACCUUCAUACCAAACACAACCUUAUACUCUUCUUGCUCUUCCUCUUUCUUCUCUCUUUGUGCUGCUAAUGUUGUGAAGGGGCUAUGAUGAUUGUUGCUUCUUUUCUGGGUUAUAUUCAAUCAUGGUAAUUGAGAAAAUAUCCUACCGUAUCUUGGCAUGGCGACCUGGUUAGGCUUUGAAGAGCAAACUGGUGUCUGCAGCCAUGGCGGCGUCACUCUUCUCUUGUUCAAGUACAGCAAAUCUGAGCCCUCAAUAACCCAUUACUACAACAACAUAUCCGGAAGUGGUGUGGGGGAAGAUGGUGUCUGUGCAGCCUUUACCCCAACCCAUUCGGGUCGGAAAAUCCAUUACGGAUUUCCAAUGAAAUUUCAACUCUGAAGAAUGAGGCGUCAGAGAAUGGGAUUUCUGUAAAGGGUGGUUGCCCAUCUCUGCGUUGCCAGUGAUUUCCCCAUAAAUGGACCAAAAAAACCCAACAGCCCUUUGAAUUAAACAACAACAACAAUAAAAACUUUAUACCAAACACACCCUAUACUACUCUUCCUCUUUCUCCUCUCUUUGUGCUGAUAAUGUUUUGAAGGGGCUAUAAUGAUUGAUUGCUUCCUUUCUGAGCUAUGUUCAAUCAUGGAAAUUGAGAAAAUAUCCGACCUGCAUCUUGGCAGGGCAACCUGGUUAGGGCUUUGAAUAGAUAACUGGUGUCUGCAGCCAUGGUGGUGUCGCUCUUCUCUUUUGCUUUGUCCAAAUACAGCAAAUCUGAGCCCUCAAUAACCCAUUCGGGUAGAAAAUCAUUUUUUUGGUUUGCUUUGAAAUUGCAACUUUGAAGAAUGAGGCGUUGAAGAAAUUGGGAUUUUCUGUGAAGGGUGGUUGCCAAUCUCUGCUGUGCCAGUGACUUCUCCAUUAAUGGACCAAAAAACCCAACAACCCUUUCUCAAAUAAACAAAAAGAAAGCAAAUUGAAAAACUUCAUCCAAAUUCCAAACACCCCCUCUAUAUUCUUCUUGCUCUUCCUCUGUCUCGUUGUGCUUCUGCUGUUACUAUUGCUUCGGAUUCUCCAAAAAUGUCGUUGCACUCAUGUUGGAUUCUCCGAAAAUACACUAUUUUUGGAGUAUCCGACACACCCUUCAAUGUUUUUGAAUCCGAGCGAAAUAGCCACAAAUAAUAGCAUGGUACAUCUCUGCAAGAAGGGCUAAAGAGAAUCUAGAUAUUAGUACGUUGCAUAACUACAAGCUUUUUCCUCGACAAAAGUAAUAAUGGAGAUUGAGCCCAGAAGGAAGAUGAGGCCAACUGGGGCAAAAGGGACUUCUAGGAGGGCAGUGUCCCCUCUGUUUGGCCUAUGAUUUCUUAACUAACAAAACUAACAACCCUCUUAUUCUUCCUUAGCUCGAGGAAACCCAGCAAAUUCUGGCGCCUUCGCCAUUAGGCAUUAUUGAAUUCUUUAGUCCAAAAAUUUCUACAAUUUCUUAAAAUCCAUGGAAGAGUGAACUUCAUCUGAAAGAGGCUGUGAUGAUUAUUGUUUAUCGGCAUUUACAAAAAUGGUCUUUUUUUGAGGCCACUUUAAAUUCCGUGCUCAUUUCCUUUUGGGCAUAGAGACAUCCUGACCUGUAUCUUGGCUUGGCAAACACCAACAAGGGCUGUGAUUUUAGGCUUCUCUUUCACAAUCCAAUUGGUUAUUUUGCAUCCAUGGCAUGGUUGCCUUAUCUUUACCCCAAUAGAAAAUUGAGACUGAGCCUCAUUUUCCAAAUUUCCUUCCUUACAACCUGGGAAUAGAACACGAGACCUUCUUUGACGGAGAGAGAUCAAUAACACCCUCUUUAUGCGACCGUUGAUAGUUUUCAAUGGUAAUUUACUCUGGAAUUGGUAUUCUUUAGUUUUAUGUGUUAAGAAUGACGUGAUAACCAACUACACCACCACAAAGGAUUCUCGAUGUGGAUGACCAUCUUUAACAUGCCAAUGAUUUUUUUUAUGCUCUAAACCUGAGAACCCUUGUUUAUGUAUAUUUCUGCAUUUGUACAUGUGGAUUUGUGCUUAUUAAUUCAAGCAUCUUAGCUUUGUCCUCACUGGUUGUGUUCCAAAGCAAUGGACUCGGAAAGGGAAACAAUUGGGCUGUGAUGAUAGUGUCUGCACUAUGCUGAGCUAAACAUAAUCGUGCAUUAGAUUUUUGUUGCCUGUAUCUUGGCAUGGCAACUUGAAUAUCUGUGAGUUGCAGCCAUGGCAGGUGCCAGAAAACUCAAUGCCCCAGAUACACAUCUGAGCCUCCAGUUUUAAGCAAAGCAUUAACAGUGCUAGUAGUAGUAGUACUUGGACCUCAAUCUGGUUAAUAAGGCUUAAUCCGAAGUAUCCUAAUUUCUUGAAAUUAUGCAGCCAUUUUCUCAAAGUGGCAGUAUGAUAUUUGCUCAUCUGGCUUCAGGAUAAAGACAAUCAGACCCGUAUCUUGGCUUGGUGAACUGCAGUUGCUUCGUGAUAUUUGCAGCCAUGGCGUGGUCUCUUUCUCUUUUCCCCAUUAAUAGCCCAGAUCUGAGCCUCAAAUUGCAAGUAGUUGUGGACAUUGUUUGGUGAAAACCCGUUUUCACUUAUUUUGAAAGCCAGCUCAUAAAUGAGGCAUCAAUGAGAAAUGGGAAUUGUUUAUUUAUUUAUUUAUUUAGUUGUUCAUUCAGUCAGUUCUGCUACUGAUGGUUCUCUUUUCUUGCUGCUACAUGGCUGUGUGAACACCAACAGAGAAAAUCAUACUAGAAAAUUGAGGCAGGAUAAUAUGGUUCUUUGUAGCCCAGUUGCCAGUUUAGGGCAGCAAGAGAUGCUUCAGUAGACGUCAGGGCGACCCAGUUAUGGCUUUGAAUAGCAAACUGGUGUCUGCAUCCAUGGCGGCAUCACUUCUCUCUUUUGCUUUGUUCAGAUAUAGCAAUUCUGAGCCCUCAAAUGAAAUUUCAGCUUUGAAGAAUGAAGCAUCAGAGAAAUUGGGAUUUUCUGUAAAAGGGUGGUUGCCCGUCUCUGCUUUGCCAGUGAUUUUUCCAUUGAUAACCAAAAAAUAACAGCCCUUUUAAAUAAACAAAAGGGAAAAAAAUGUCAUCCAAACACACCUCUGUACUCUUGUUGUUCUUCCUCUCGUCUUCUUGUGAUGCUGUUGCUGCUGCUGGUGUUGUAAAGGGGGCUAUGAUGAUUGCUUACUUUCCUUUUUGGGCUAUGAAGCUGUGUUCAAUAUAGCAUUGAGAAAAACCUGCAUCUUAGCUGGGCGACCCGGUUAUGGCUUUGAAUAGCAAACUGGUGUCUGCAUCCAUGGCUGUGGCGUUCUUCUCUUUUCUUUGUUAAGAAAUACAACAAAUCUGAGCCCUGAAUAACCCAUUUCAUGAUCUUCCAUGAGUACAUGUUCAUAAUGCCAGCAAGAGGAAACAAUGAGGCUAUGAUGAUAGUUUUGCUGAGCUCUUUGAGUCGGGCAUAAGAGUUCUGUAGCUGCUGUGGCGGGGCAAUCUGAAUUUCUGGAAAUUUGCAGCUAUGGCUGGGCACAAAGAACUCAAAGCCCGAAGACAUAAUCUGAGCCUCUUGCAUCAUUUCUCCAUUACCAAAACCAACAGCCCUCUUCUAGUCCUUUUCCUUUCUUCACUAUAGAAAACAGAGGGAGCAUUAACAUCAGCAGCAGCAGCAGCAGUAGUUGGACCUCAUUCUGAUUUAUGAGCUCAGGUCCAAAGCAUCUCAAAUUCCCCGAAUCCUAUGCUACCAGAAUCAACGAAGCAGAUGAUAUUUGCUUAUCUUGGCUUAAAAAAAGGUUGUUCGGGUUUACAGACAAGUAGAUCUGUAUCUUGGCUUGGCAAAAACCCAUGAUGGUAUGUGAUUUGAGACUCCUCGAUCACAUGCAACUGGUUCUUUUGCAGCUAUGGCGUUGUCUCCUCUCUCUCUUUGACCAUUCAUUAGUAGCCAGCUGCGAGUGUCAAAAUUGCCAGUAAUUCUUCUGGACAUUGUUUGAUGGGGAAAUCGUUAAAUGAGACAUCAUUGAUGAGAAAUGUGAAUAAUUUAUUUUUUGAUUCGGUUUUGCUGGUAAGGCCAAGAUGUGAAAUCUUGCUGGAAGUAAGUAACAGCGGCUAGCUCUUUCUUGUAACUCUAGCUUGAGAAGAUGCACAUAAAUAAUUAUCUUUUACUGCUAUUGGUUCUCACCGUGCUGCUUUGUGGCUGCAUUAACACAUAAACAGCGAGAAUCACGCUCCAAUAAAAAAGAAGUGAAAAAUCGAGGCAGUGAUGAUAUGUUUUUUUGACAAAUAGCAAUAUUUGUUUGCAUUGAGAUGAUAAGACUCAGCAACUUCGCAGGGCAACCUGCUCUAGGUUGCAGCCAUGGAAGCUGUGAUAAACUGAUCUGAGUCUUGUAUUAAGUACCAGUAAUUCACAAUUCCUUUCUUUGUUACUUUUCCCUUUUUGCAAGAUGGCAAAAGGAGUUGCUAUUUUUCAUUUACAUAUUCUUUCUGGUCAUAAAUAUUGCUCAUAUACUUUUAGUUUUGUUGAUUUUUCACAUCUCUUCUGCCGAUGGAUGCCCCAUUUUGCUGUCUGCCCUUAUCUGCGUUGAGUUUGACAACGAGUCAAACAUUGGCCUGUCUUAGCUCCCAGUGACCUGCUUGGGAAGACCUUUCCGAACCGCAGCAUGGGGAAUGUCUCCUCCUUAACUAUGUAUGGCUAAUGAACUCCUCGCUUUAGUCUGUUAUUUUCCUACUUUGGGAUUGAGUCGAUAAUAGUCGUGGACCUAAAAGCGGAUAGUAACAGUGGAUAGAUCACUUUUUUUUUUUGUUAAUUAUGUUUUCCAAGUUCAUAGUGUUUGACUUGUAACAGCUACUUUGAGCUCGGUCAGUAGUAGUGGUGGAUCAAAGAGCAUACUUUCUUGGGCUUGAACUUGUAAUAUCCCAUUUUAGGCUUUACUUUUGUUGUAAUUACUCUUACCUGUUAUCUUGUGUUUUUAUUCUUUGUAUUGUUGGUGCAUGGCAUUCUAAAUUUAAUAUUGUGUUUCAUCAAAAUAAUACAGUAUAAUGUAAUCUUUGUCUUGUUAAAAAUAUUUUUUCUUCCCAAUAUUUUAUAGUAUUGAUUCUCCUUUACUUGAAUGGAGAGUCGAUCAAAAACCAGCUCUUUUUGAUAAUUGAAGAAAGCAAAAAAAGCUCAGAAGGGAGAGAAUCAGGCUUACAGAGAGUUUAAGGAUUUUUCAUUGAAGGGUGGUUUGCUUCUCUCUGUGACAAUUCCAAACAACCCUUUCUUCUGGAAAUUUGGAACUGUUCUUUUUUCAUACAGAAAUUUGCACAAAUAUGAUCUUUUUUCUUUAUGUUUCCACCGGAAAAUUCAGUGUUGCCGUUGCUGGUGACUGGUGAGUAUAAUCAACGGCUACAAGCCCUAAUCUUCUUCCUCCAAUUGUGGUCAAUUGAAUUCGACCCGACGAGAUGGGCUUUUCAAGUAAGGCCCAAUUGAUUAGGGCACAAUAUAAGAAGCAGCAUUGACAUGAAAAUAGCACAAAUCUCAUUAGUUUAAGUAUGAGGCGGCGGUGAAAGCACAGAGGAUUAGGGAGUUUCAAUGGGUGGUUUUGCCACUCUGUUAUUCUCUGCUGCCGAUGAUCACUCAAAAUGAUUGCAAAAAACCACCCUUUUGGUGAACUUCCACUAGACCUUCCUUUGUUCCCAAUUGCUGUUACCCCUCAGUCCCAAUCUGUCAGGCUAUGAAGAUUUGAAAGAAUUUGUCUUCUUUGGAAGAUGAAUCAGACAUAUAUUUCCAUUGAGCUGGAAAAAAAUUGUAUCUUGGCGUGGCAGUUCAGAUGGGUCUGGUGAGAAUGGAGGAGAAAGUAUUCUUUUCUGUCUCAUAAAUCUAACUGAAGAUUGCAGCCAUGACGCUGUCUUUUUAAAAGCUUUUUGGUUUUGUCUGAGAAAAGGCGAAUCUGAGCCUU